ACGUAAUUUUUGUUUAUUAUUUUAUUAGUGCUGCGGAAUCUUUAAUCAAACAUUUUUAACAUGUUACGUUUAUGGUUUUCGAUUUACCCCCCACCCCACCCCCUUCAACAUCAAUAUGUUUUUCGAUCAAAUAACUUACUCGUGCUAAAAAGCCGAUAUAUGCGGCGUUACCGAGAAGACUCCUGCCUACUAGCAUCGGGAAAUCUUGUUCAACUUUCCGAUAUCCCCAUUGUUUUGCGGUCUGUGGAUUAUUUUCUUUGUUCUAAAUUUAGUUACGUUCGUAGGCAUAUGUUGGAGAUUUCAGCGCUCAGGAGAAAAGCUUGCAAAGAAAGCGUUCUUCGUCUUGCUCAGUGAUGUAAGUGAAGGAUUACCGAGUGGGGAUGAUUCUAAGGAAAGGAGAAGAGGUAACAGAUGUUUAACGUCGUACCCAGGACGGGAAAGCUGGUUGAAUAAUCUGUCAAACAAAGGCUUUAUCUUGUUCGUCGGUCGAAUGAACGUUGAAAAGAAACGUUGCGGCCGGAAUUCUUCAGGAAGUUAUGGGUUCAGGUAUUAAAACAUUUCUCAA